rnacentral:lncRNA from 1 species
GAUUUGUAACAGUUGUUGCAGACACAUACCUAGCGAAAAAUGUUUCUGGUACUCUGCCUGAUAGCUACUGUCAUUCCAUGGAGCCUUGUUGAAGGUAGGAAAGGCUGCUGGGCGGCCUCAUCACCCCCAGGAAACGAAUGCAUCUUCGACACGGUCCUUCCGGGAGGUCGUGAACUCGGGAUUCAAUAUUAUUUCACCUCCCGAUUCUCUCGGAUUUGUUGUGACGUCCUGUUUUGCGACUACUGGAGUUGUAAAUUUAAGUAUGUCGGAUGUGGUCAAAGUGUGAAUACAAUUCCGAUUAAGACAGACCCCUACCAGUGGGUAUUCAAGGAUGUUGAACCAAUGAUGAGAUGUUACGACACUCGUGGAUCCGGAGCUUAUUAUAGUUAUAAAGUUGAUGUAGUUCACAUUGAAAACGGAAAAUAAAGUGUAUAAAAGAAGAUGGAUUGGCAGGUGUAUUAACCUUAACCUGCUACAUUUCUAAAAUGGACCGGUCCAUCAUUCAAUUUAGGCAGUACCACUUAUUAUUCAAAGGGGUGUUCACUGAAAAUUUAUUGACUGAAUAGCGAACAGUGCAGACCAUGAUCAGACUGCACAGACGGAUGUGCAGGCUGAUCUUGGUCUGCACUGGUCGCAAAGGCAGAAUCACUUGCCGCCAGCAGGCUAAAGGUUAAUAUCAACAUCUGCAUCUAAUGUGUUAUUAAAGUAAAGGAGAAUGUUGUAAAAACUUUACUCUGUUGUUGUUUAAGUUAAUACAGAAAUAUCUGAUAAAAUUUGAGUGUUCUACUGAAAACAUUUUGUGUUUAGAUCAAGCAGUAGAUCGGAAGGCAAAUACUUUUUCCUGUGUCGUGCUGUUUUUUAAUGUUAGGAUUUUUAGCAGUGCCGUUGAGUACAAUUCUGAAUUCUGUUGGACGAGUAUACAGCAGUAAUAACUCAUAUUCGCCAAUAUGGAUUAUCACUGCUGUGCACGAGACCAAUUGCAUUCAGUAUUGUAUUCAACACUGUUAAAUUACCUAUUUAUUUAUUACAAUAAUAAACAUAUUAAAUUAAACCUAUUAAAUGUUUAGGUGGGUUUCGAAGCGAUUAAGGCCAAUGAAUUCCAUUCAUUUGCCGCUAACGACAGUGAGCUCCGAACCGCGAAAAGAAUGUAAAAUUAUUUCAUGUGAUGAAGCCAUAUAGGGUCGUUGCAUUGUAAAAUAUGUUGGUAUCAAUAAAAACAAAAAUGGACUGUA